rnacentral:rRNA from 1 species
GUCGGGAGUCUUGCACAAUGGGGGAAACCCUGAUGCAGCGACGUCGCGUGUGGGAUGAAGUAUUUCGGUAUGUAAACCACUUUUGCGGGGGGCGAAAAAAAUGACGGUACCCCGCGAAUAAGCCCCGGCUAACUACGUGCCAGCAGCCGCGGUAAUACGUAGGGGGCGAGCGUUGCUCGGAUUGACUGGGCGUAAAGCGCGCGUAGGCGGUCCAUUAAGUGUGCGGUGAAAUUCGGAGGCUCAACCUCCGUCCCGCCGCGCAAACUGAUGGUCUUGAGAUUGGGAGGGGGAUGCGGAAUUCCUGGUGUAGCGGUGAAAUGCAUUGAUAUCAGGAGGAACACCAGUGGCGAAGGCGGCUUACUGGACUGUAACUGACGUUGAGGCUCGAAAGCGUGGGGAGCAAACAGGAUUAGAUACCCCUGUAGUCC